rnacentral:rRNA from 1 species
UACGUAGGGUGCAAGCGUUGUCCGGAAUUAUUGGGCGUAAAGAGCUCGUAGGCGGUCUGUCGCGUCUGCUGUGAAAACUCGGGGCUUAACCCCGGGCCUGCAGUGGGUACGGGCAGACUAGAGUGCGGUAGGGGAGACUGGAAUUCCUGGUGUAGCGGUGAAAUGCGCAGAUAUCAGGAGGAACACCGGUGGCGAAGGCGGGUCUCUGGGCCGAAACUGACGCUGAGGAGCGAAAGCGUGGGGAGCAAACAGG